rnacentral:rRNA from 1 species
UACAGAGGUGGCAAGCGUUGUUCGGAAUUACUGGGCGUAAAGGGCGCGUAGGCGGUCCGAUAAGUCCUGUGUGAAAUCCCUCGGCUCAACUGAGGAACUGCACGGGAGACUGCCGGGCUUGAGUUCGGGAGAGGGAAGCGGAAUUCCGGGUGUAGCGGUGAAAUGCGUAGAGAUCCGGAAGAACACCUGAGGCGAAGGCGGCUUGCUGGGCCUGAUCUGACGCUGAGGCGCGAAAGCGUGGGGAGCAAACAGG